rnacentral:lncRNA from 1 species
AAAUUCAAUUUUCCAAAAUAUAUUAUAACACCCAGUGCUUUUGACCCGCUAGUGGAGAGCAGCCUAUCCCUUUUGUGGAGAGUGGCUUAACCCACCACCUGCUCCCAUCACUCUCCAGGGGUGAAAAUAAUAGGACUGGGUUAGUUAAAGAAAAUAGAACAGGGGAUUUCUCCUUAAUUAAUCAUUCAUAUAGUGGUAUUUGUCACUUUAUUGUUUUUAUUUUCAGCAUUUCUUCUCAUGCAUGGACCAUGAAUUUAAGGCUUGAUUCUGAAAGUAGGCCUAUGUUCCUAUAUAUGCAGAGAACCCCCCAGAAAAUGAAAGCAGCACUAAGACAGGAGCAAGCUGAGGGCACAAGGGAGGGAGGACAGAUUCCUAAUAUGUUCCUAAUGUCUGGGGGCAGCUUUGCUCUAGUCUAAUUUGACCUCUAUUCAAAACCACUCAUAUGAACUAAUAAAUCCCCACUUUCUGCUCACUACAAUUGAAUUGGAGUUUCUGGCAAUUAUAUAUACAUAUAUAUAUAUAUAAUCACUGAUUCCUUCCGUAGGGAAUAGGGAAGGUUUAUGGCUUUGAUGGUAUUGCUUUGCAUCAUGGCUCUAGUUGUCAGUUGUGAAGUGUCUAUUUUUCUGAAAGGUGCAAAUUAAUUAUAAGAAAUCAUAUCUGAUUGAUUCCAUAUUCCCUGUAAAUUUUAGGAUGAUCCAAAAGCUCAUUAAAAUAAUUUAGAUACUAAAUAAUAAAAAUAGCAAUUCGUAUACUUCAAAAUCGCAAUUUCUUCUUGAUCUGGAAUAUUUCCAAGUUUGGGUUUCUAGUCUCAUUUACAUCCCUUUGAUCACCAUCAGCUCUUACUGAUCAUUUUCAUUUAGAAAAUUCAGCUUACCUCACUCAUUUCACAUCUUCAAACAUGCCUGUGGCCAUUUUUUCCCCAGUACUCUGAAAAGUAUGCUCUUUCCUCGACUUUGACUCCUUUUAAAUUCACAUUUUGUUUGCUCUGAGGCAACACAGACAGAUCUCAACUUCCCAUUUUCUAAAUUGUGCAGGAGCUUUUUGUACGGAUCCGUAUUACGCACAAUCUCAUGCUUGCUUUCCCAUUUAUCUCAGAUUUCCUUUUAGCUCCCAAUCCAUUUCAUGAUCCAGUUUAAAAUGCCUAUCUCUCUGAAACAUACAGAGAGAUGUGCAAUCUCAUUUAAUUUCACUCCCUAUUCAUCUGCCCCUUUGCACAAUGUUACAACGAUUGCUUAGAGGAGAACAUUGUCUGCCACUUCUAAUGAUAAUGUUCAGGGUCUUCUGUUGAAUCAGCAAUCUAUGUCACUUAAAAUUUAGUAUAAAGCAGUAUUUUCUAUGUUUCUUUAAAUAACGUCUUAUAUACAAUUUUAUUUAUAGCUUUAUAAAUUAAAUUAUAUACAGUUUUAUAAAUUAAAGACUAUAAUAUGCAAGUAUUAUGUAGUUUGCACAGUUAUAAUAUUGACUAUUUCUUAGUAUAUUUGCACUUCAAAUGAAAAUUUAUACAAUACACUUUCACAAUUCUCCAUAGUAAUGUCAGAGAAGACUUUGAUAUUAACCAACAAAUCAUUUCACACUUUAGCCAAUAUUAUUCGUGUAAUUCUUAGUGUCUUUGAUAGUUCUAAUUACAUUAAUUCAUAGAAAAUCAGCAUGCCUUUAAAUUGCUAGUACUUGUUUCCAUAGCUUUACAAAUACACUGCCUUUUGUGUAUUCAUUUUCUAUAAAAUAUGUUCACAUUUAUAAGAUUGCCCUAAAGUGAAAUUAGAAAAUUAGGUAGUAUAAAUGUGAAAUUGUUACAUAUUAAAUACUUAUGCACAGUUACAAAUGUAUUUCUGUUAAACAAACAUAAUUUUCUAUUAAAUGUCAACCCUAAGAGAACCUAUUAUCUUUUGCAGUAAUAGAUUUGAUGUUGAGAGGCGUGGUUCUAGUAAGGGACACCAACACAUCUCAGCCUCACCUGAUGGCAAAGGGAUGUCAUUAUAAUAAGAAAUGGGUGGGGAAAAAGUGUGAGAAGAAUUUAGAAGCCAACCUUCACUAACCCCACUCAGGUAAAACAGAUUAUUCUGAGACUGAAAGAUUCCUGGAAUAAUUGAAUAGUUAGGUACCAUUUUCCAUAAAAUGAAAAAAUCUGAAUGCUGAAUGCUGAAAUUUUAUAUUUCUUCUACCUCUCUGUUCUUUCAGAAUGCUCAAGAGAUACUUCACUCUCUAAGCAAGAGUUUGGAACACUCUUCAAUGAAAAAAUUGAUCAGCCAAGAAGAAAGACUCAAAUGUACUGAAAUGAGAAAUUACCAUCAAACAGUCCACUCAGAUCAGCCUACAGUAAAUUCAAAGGUUAUCAUGCUUCAUUCUGUGUUCAGAAUUCGAUGUCAGGCUUUUUAAAAUAUUUUUAUUCUUAAAUAUAAGAUAAAAUCAAGAAUUAUUAGCUAUGUGAGGAAAGGCUCUAAUCUGACAGAAAAAAAGCAAAAAUGAACAGAAAAGAAGCCA